rnacentral:tRNA from 1 species
UCCUCGGUGGCUCAGUCGGUUAGAGCGUCUGCCAUGCAAGUAGGAGGUCCCUGGUUCGAGUCCCGGUCGGGGCA